CAAAAUCAAUGAACUUUUAUCAAAUCCGAUGAACUUUUUAUCAAAUCAAUGAACUUUUUUGUAAUUCGUGAACUGUUUUCAAAAUUUAACAAACUAUUUUUAUUAGAAUACUUGAUAUUUUCCAUAUAAUUUUCAAAUAACUCAAAAAUCUCAAUGGUAUAGUAAUGGCUGAGUAAUAAAUAGCACGGGUUCAUUAGUUCUAAACCUGUUCGCAUUGGUUUCUGUUCACUAGCGCUCUAAGCUGUAGUGCUUAAGCUAAGCAAUUACAUGCAAGUGUGGCGUGAGAUCGAUACCUAGUUCUGCCAAUUUUUCACGUGUUUUUUUUCAGGAACGAAACUGUUUCUGGGCCGGCCGUAGAAACGGCCCACACAGGGCGUGUUGUAGGCGCCACUUUCUCGUUCGGGCGCCUACAGCGCCGAACAGGAGCUCCCCACGCACGGUGCCAGACACCAGCGGCUGACCUCUCCUGCCUCUCCCUCGCCCCCUCCCCUCCAGCCGGCCAUCUCCCUCCCCUGCCCUCGGCCUUCGGCAUCCGGCCCUCUCCUCCGCGGCUCCGUCAGGCGCCAGGCCGCCAAUCCACCUCCGGCCUCCCUAGCACGGGGCAGCUCCCUGACUUCCUCCGGCCACCGUCCUCGGGCUCGGGGCUCCCCGGCUCGGCGGCUCCCCGGCGUGGCGGCACCGCGGCAGCGCCAUCCAGCAGGCAACAGGCAGCAGACCAGCAGCAUCAGUCCGGCAUCCACACAAUGUUUGUCCAAUCUUAAGUUGGUGCUCAUUCUUCUGGUAGCCACUGCCAGUGUUGAGAGGGUAUUUACCUCAAUGAAAUACGUGAAGAAUCCACUAAGAAACAAAAUGGAUGAUGAAUAUUUGAACAAUUGCUUGGUUACAUUUCGUUGAGGGUGAAUUCUUCAAGCAAGUGAAAGAUGAGGAUGUCAUCAAUCUCUUCCAAAAAGGGGAUCUUAAAGUUAUAUUGUAAUUUUCUUUGCUAUUUGUAAUCUUUCUUAAUUGUUAGAGAUAUUGCCACAAUGAUAUUUUGCUACUAUUAUUGAUAUAUGGUCAUUGAGUCAUUGAUGUUA